rnacentral:rRNA from 1 species
UACGGAAGCUAAACAUGCAAGUCGAACGGUAACAGGAAGCAGCUUGCUGCUUAGCUGACGAGUGGCGGACGGGUGAGUAAUGUCUGGGAAACUGCCUGAUGGAGGGGGAUAACUACUGGAAACGGUAGCUAAUACCGCAUAACGUCGCAAGACCAAAGAGGGGGACCUUCGGGCCUCUUGCCAUCGGAUGUGCCCAGAUGGGAUUAGCUAGUAGGUGGGGUAACGGCUCACCUAGGCGACGAUCCCUAGCUGGUCUGAGAGGAUGACCAGCCACACUGGAACUGAGACACGGUCCAGACUCCUACGGGAGGCAGCAGUGGGGAAUAUUGCACAAUGGGCGCAAGCCUGAUGCAGCCAUGCCGCGUGUAUGAAGAAGGCCUUCGGGUUGUAAAGUACUUUCACCGGGGAGGAAGGCGACAGGGUUAAUAACCCUGGCAAUUACCGAUGCCCAGAAAAGAAACGACCGGUUAGAUCACAGCCAUCGGACGCGGAAAAAGCGGGGGCGCUGUAGCAGUUGCAAGAAAUGGCGCAAAGUGCCCCCCCGAGCGGAGGGGACCCCCGAGACGUAAUCGCAGGGCUAACCUUGGGGCCUGGCUCUCAAAGCGGUAGACUUAACGCAUUCGAUCGGGAAGGCAAGCCCCAGGGGCACCGCCUACCAGACGACAUCUUUUAGGGCAUGGACUAGAGCGGGGUCUACUCCUGGCGAGCACCCGACGCUAUCGCCCGAGAGCGUGGGGAGUCAACAGGGGACCGGACUUCGCCACCGAACUCCAUCAACAUCUACCACACUUGUCGAGGACACCCUGAAGCUACAGCCUCCCCACACGAAACUCUAGCCGACCGAUUGGAGGGAACAGCCCACGAAGCAACGCGAGAAUUAAUUGCGAAGUGGCCGAACAGCCUGAGGGGGAAGUUCGGCUACACUAAUUCGCAAUAAGCCUAUGCAUGCCUCAAAUUAUACACCAGGAAGAUAGCUUCCAAGAAKAAGGCUGGCUUAGCUUCGGGGACUACGAAAAAAGAUGCGUGGUACGCUUGCCACGCCACUUUGCUCCCAGAUUAUGGUAUUACCCCGGAAGGACUUACAUCAUAAUCGUGAGUGCAUCGUGUGUGCACCCAAGUGGGAGCAAUUC